UUGUAGUCCAAGUCAACAGGGCCCCAAAGGUCUGGGCUGGAGUAUUGCUAACUCUCCGGCUCAUGGAUCGAGCCAGACAAAGCGCCUGAGGUCAAAAUGUGGUAUCCCCAAGCUGUGUGCAGAUGUUCCUGUGUGAGCUGGAAGAGGAGGACUGGUCCCUCUUUGUCUGAGAUCAUGUGGAGUCCCUGCUGUGAACCAGGUUAUUUUCCAGAGAUGGAGACCAAGACCAGCAGCUGGUGGAUAGAGUGUAAGUGGCUCUUUCAUCUGACCUUGAAUUCGGUGACCUUGGCCAAGUUCUCUGGAGUCUGGAAAGCUUUAUCAACAGAAUUGGGAACUAGCAACAUCACUUCCUCCUGCUUGGGACCAUUUAACAUCAGGGUCCAAAGUCAGGAUGCAAAGCUGGGUGACAACGGAUGUCACUGACUAGUCAACAAGACGUGAGAAAGGAUUCAGCCCCCCACAAGGCUGCUCUCAGUCUGGGGACAUCGUAAGCUUUUAAACAUUAAUUUUACUUCAUUUGUACUUUGUUGAUCUUCUGUAAUACCCUCCUAAAUUUCCCACAAAGUGUUCCUUUUAAAAUUGGGAAGACUUAGUGAAAAUUUAAAUUUGUUUCUGUAGCUUAUUUCCCCAUCUCCUUCUGCUGCCCACUCUGUCCUUCCCAGGUAACCUUCCCCGGCCCCUCCCAGGCCAGCCUGGCUAGUCCUGCCCUGGGCUAACUUGGGGGAGGCCUGCAGGGCUGGACAGACAGCAUCAGGAUCCAGUGGGUCCUGCCACCUGGGACAUUGGUUGCCCUGCUGGAGGGGCUGGGCUGGGCAGCGUCUGUUGGUUUGAAAUGGCGACAGAGCACAGUGAUGAUGCAGGUGACCCUCUGCUCACUUCCAACCCUGUAUCAGAGUCUUUCUGAGCCACGUUUCAUCCCAUCUUCCCAUCAGCCCCGAGAGGAGUAUAUUGCUAUCAGCUCUCUUGAGUUUGCAGAUGGGGAUGCUGAGGCUCAGAGAGGUUAAACAACUUCCCUAAGUCACACAG
rnacentral:lncRNA from 1 species